UCCUCCCUCUGGCGGCGCGCCUAACACAUGCAAGUCGAACGAGCGAGAGAGAGCUUGCUUUCUCGAGCGAGUGGCGAACGGGUGAGUAACGCGUGAGGAACCUGCCUCAAAGAGGGGGACAACAGUUGGAAACGACUGCUAAUACCGCAUAAGCCCACGACCCGGCAUCGGGUAGAGGGAAAAGGAGCAAUCCGCUUUGAGAUGGCCUCGCGUCCGAUUAGCUAGUUGGUGAGGUAACGGCCCACCAAGGCGACGAUCGGUAGCCGGACUGAGAGGUUGAACGGCCACAUUGGGACUGAGACACGGCCCAGACUCCUACGGGAGGCAGCAGUGGGGAAUAUUGCACAAUGGGGGAAACCCUGAUGCGGCGACGCCGCGUGGAGGAAGAAGGUCUUCGGAUUGUAAACUCCUGUUGUUGAGGAAGAUAAUGACGGUACUCAACAAGGAAGUGACGGCUAACUACGUG
rnacentral:rRNA from 1 species